CGCUCUCCGUGCGUUCUCUGUGCGCUCUCGGCGCAUGCGCUCAGUGAAUGGUUCUUUUCGGGAUAGGUUUCGAUUAGCGUAGUUCGAAGCAUUCAAAUAAGGUGUGUACAGUGAGAAUUCUCAUUUCACUUGUGCGUUCUGCGAAAGAACAACGGUUUUUUCGAUUUGCUACGAGCGGAGCUAACUCUAGCAAAAAUUAGCUCAACUGCAAUGGCGCAGAGGAAGAUGUCAGAUGUGGAGGCGCUGGAAGAAAUAUUUCGGAGCGAUGUUGAGCUGGAAGACUCUUCUUAUAGCUAGUGGGAUUCGGACGAGGAGGAAGAGGAGAGAGGCAGAGAGGAGAGACCCCCUGAGAGCCGGACACAGCUGACAGACUGCUGACAGACUUGAUCUCGGUGAUGUUCAAGUGGAAGCCGAACCAUCAAGCUCAGAUGGAGCUGAACCUCCCCCCACCUCUCAUGAUUCUUCAUCUUCUUUGAGGUAAGAUGUCCAU